rnacentral:snRNA from 1 species
GUACUCAUUUCAGCAGCACAUAAUGAUACAGAGAUUAGCAAGGCCUCUGCUUAAGGAUGACACACUUCAUAUUUUUGGAACUCAAAAUUUUU